GAUCGUGUGCCCGCGGUGCACGGAGCGCUACCCUACUUACCGCGAGCUCGGCUGGCACGUGGUCUCGCACCGCUCCGACAAACUACAGUGCGAUUAUUGCGGUAAAAUGUUAAAGCAUCAUCACAGAAAGAAGACAAUAAAUCACAUGGAAGACGUCAUACUUUGUUCACAGUGUGUUCGUACCCUAAGAAAUAUUGAAAAACAAGAAAAGGAUAUUAAGGAAAAAGUAAAAGCUAAGAGUAAUGACGCGAUAACAUUGCAAAAGUAUCAGAAAUUUAGACAGGCCAUGGGACUUUCGGGCGACGAAGAAGCAUCGACAGACUAAAUAACUUAUCGCACAGCAAAUAAAUGUCCUUGUUAAAAAAAUAGUUAAUAAGAAAACUUUUCGAAAAUAUUUUUGGUGAAACUUAAGUGUACAAUGGAUCUUUGGAAUAAAACAGAUUUAUUUUUGAUAA